rnacentral:rRNA from 1 species
UACAGAGGGUGCGAGCGUUAAUCGGAAUUACUGGGCGUAAAGCGUGCGUAGACGGCUAUCUAAGUCGGGUGUGAAAGCCCCGGGCUCAACCUGGGAAUUGCAUCCGAGACUGCAUUGCUAGAGUAUGGGAGAGGGAAGCGGAAUUUCUGGUGUAGCAGUGAAAUGCGUAGAUAUCAGAAGGAACAUCAGUGGCGAAGGCGGCUUCCUGGACCAAUACUGACGAUCAGGUGCGAAAGCGUGGGGAGCAAACAGG